GACGAACGCUGGCGGCGUGCCUAAUACAUGCAAGUAGAACGCUGAAGAGAGGAGCUUGCUCUUCUUGGAUGAGUUGCGAACGGGUGAGUAACGCGUAGGUAACCUGCCUUGUAGCGGGGGAUAACUAUUGGAAACGAUAGCUAAUACCGCAUAACAAUGGAUGACACAUGUCAUUUAUUUGAAAGGGCAAUUGCUCCACUACAAGAUGGACCUGCGUUGUAUUAGCUAGUAGGUGAGGUAACGGCUCACCUAGGCGACGAUACAUAGCCGACCUGAGAGGGUGAUCGGCCACACUGGGACUGAGACACGGCCCAGACUCCUACGGGAGGCAGCAGUAGGGAAUCUUCGGCAAUGGGGGCAACCCUGACCGAGCAACGCCGCGUGAGUGAAGAAGGUUUUCGGAUCGUAAAGCUCUGUUGUAAGUCAAGAACGAGUGUGAGAGUGGAAAGUUCACACUGUGACGGUAGCUUACCAGAAAGGGACGGCUAACUACGUG
rnacentral:rRNA from 1 species